GUAAAAACCAAGGCACUUAUUGCUUUAAGAAUGGAAAAGGAUGACCUGUUCUGCAAAAAACGCAAUGCUGCCAAAGAAGCAUGGGAGUCAAUCAUUAAGGAACUGGACCUUGGGCAACAUGUGUCUCACAAACAGGCCUCCAAGAAAUGGGAGAACCUAAAAAAGAAAUACAAGGAACUUAAAAGGCCAAGGACUGGAACAGGGACUGAUCAGGGGGAAGAAACCCCU